CGCUCAGAUUGAACGCUGGCGGAAUGCUUUACACAUGCAAGUCGAACGGCAGCACGGACUUCGGUCUGGUGGCGAGUGGCGAACGGGUGAGUAAUACAUCGGAACGUACCUUAUCGUGGGGGAUAACGCAGCGAAAGCUGUGCUAAUACCGCAUACGCCCUGAGGGGGAAAGCGGGGGAUCGCAAGACCUCGCGCGAUUAGAGCGGCCGAUGCCUGAUUAGCUAGUUGGUGGGGUAAAAGCCCACCAAGGCGACGAUCAGUAGCUGGUCUGAGAGGACGAUCAGCCACACUGGGACUGAGACACGGCCCAGACUCCUACGGGAGGCAGCAGUGGGGAAUUUUGGACAAUGGGGGCAACCCUGAUCCAGCAAUGCCGCGUGAGUGAAGAAGGCCUUCGGGUUGUAAAGCUCUUUUGUCAGGGAAGAAACACCGGCUCUAACACAGUCCGGGAAUGACGGUACCUGAAGAAUAAGCACCGGCUAACUACGUG
rnacentral:rRNA from 1 species